rnacentral:lncRNA from 1 species
CUCUGGAAGACUUUAGUCAGUGUCUGUGACCGGCUCAACAGGGAAGAACAUCUUCCUCCCAUCUCCGAGGAGGAGGGGCCCUUUCUCACCCGACUCUGGGUACCAGGGCCCGAGGACCACCCAGAACAGAAGCCCAAGACAUUGGGAGGGGACCCCCAGAUGGCAGGCUGAGCACCCGGGAAACGAGAGUUGCUUGGUGAGGACGCUUCAGACAUAGACUUGGGGGACACUGUACUCUGUGCCAGUGAGCCCUUCCUGCCCCAGGGGAGGGCCUUAGAGAAGGGAGGGCACCCUGGGCCUCUCCGAGGGCAGGAGUCCUGAGGAUGGGGAGACCUGACAAGCUUAGGGCUACAGAAGGAGAAGACAGAAGUCUCUUUGGAGCCCAGGAUCCUCUCAGAGAGGAGCGGAGGGUGGGGACAACGACUGUUAAAGGCCUGACCCUUGGACUCUGUCCACAUCGGCUCCUUGUUGGCUCUGCCUGUGUCUCUUUAGAACAAGAAGGGCAGGUGUCCUUGGUCCCAGGGGAAAGAGUGGGCAGUGGCUGGCUCAGGAGGAAAGGAAGGGGCCCAGCCCUGGGCCAGUGGGAGGAAAGUGAGCUCCGGAUGGCCAGAGGGGCCUGGGAAGUACUCCAGGGCUUAACAGUUGUCAGCCUCCUCAGGGUCCCCAGCCCACCGGCCUCCUGCUUUGGUGCCAUGAAGCUGAGUCUGUCUGGACAUCUCAGCACAGGGGCUCCCAGCUGGGGCUCUGUGCCCAGACUUCAGAAUCCCACGUCAUGACUGCCCAGACGGGCCACUCCCACCAGACUCGCGAGCCAGGAAAGAAUGGGCGUGCCGUCAGGACGCAGGCCCCACUGUGCGUCAGGCUCUGGACGUGGGAUGACCGGCCAUCCCAGACACUCCCUCUGAAGACACUGGACACACUCUAAGAAGAAAUUAGUACAGCAGGGACCUCACAGAGACAGGAAAGACUCUCACCGAAGAGGAGCAGGAUGGUUAAUCUACAUGUCCACUUGGCCCGGAUGCCGUCCCCAGUUAUUCAAUCAAACCCUCUCCUGGUGUUGCUGUGAACACAUCGUGUCCAUGUGGUUCAAAUCUACAAUCAGUUAACCUAACUAAGGAGAGCAUCCUCAGUAAUGUGGGUGGGCCUCAUCCAAUCAGUUGAAGACCUUAAGAGCAAAAACUGAAGUUUCUUCACGCAAGAAGAAACUGUGCCUUUGGAAGACAGCUCCUGCCUGAGGGUCUCCAGCUUGCGGGCCUGUCCUUCAGGUUUCUGACUUGCCCAGCCAGACCCCACAAUCACAUAAGGCAACUGCUUAAAAUAAAUCUCUGUUUCUCUGGUGGAGCCCUGGCUGCCACAAGGAGGAAACAGACAUCCAGUCCCAAUUGCCCCUCCCACCUCGUUCAUUCCACUCAUUCUCUGAGCACUGACUCGGCACCCGUGAUAAAGCGCCUGUGCUAGACCCCAGAGCAAGAAUCUCGUGGGAGCAGCAAAAAGCUUAUCAUGAGAAAGACCAGAGGCAGCACAUCUUAUCAGCGUGACUUGUCCAUGAAGAGUUGGUGAGAGUGGACUCCUAUUCAACAUAGGACUGGAGGUGUUGGGCAGAGCAAUUAGGCAAGAAAAAGAAAUAAAAGGAAUCCAAGUUGGAAAGGAAGAAGCAAAACUUUCACUAUUUGCAGGUGACAUGAUUCUAUAUAUAGAAAACCCUAAACAAUGCACGAGAAAACUAUUAGAAAUAAUCAACAACUACAGCAAAGUUUCAGGGUACAAAAUCAAUUUUUAAAAAAAUCAGUUGCACUCCUAUACACUAACAAUGAACUAGCAGAAAGAGAAAUCAACAAUACAAUCCCAUUUACAAUCACAGCAAAAAGAAUAAAAUACCCAGGAAUAAACUUAACCAAAGAGGUGAAAGACCUGUGCACUGGAAACUAUGACAUCACUGAAAGAAACUGAAGAAGACAUAAAGAAAUGGAAAGAGAUUCCAUGCUCAUGGGUGGAGGAAUAAACAUAGUUAAAAUGUCCGUACUACCCAAAGCAAUCUACAGAGUCAAUGCAAUCCCAAUCAGAAUCCCAACGACAGUCUUCACAGAAAUAGAACAAAGAAUUCAAAAAUGUAUAUGGAACAACAAAAGACCCCGAAUAGCCAAAACAAUCCUGAGAAAAAAGAACAAAGCUGGAGGCAUCACAAUCCCUGACUUCAAAACAUACUCAAAACUAUAGUAACCAAAACAACAUGGUACUGGCACCAAAACAAACAGAUCAACAAAUCAGAACUGAAAGCUCAGAAAUAAAACCACACAUCC